rnacentral:rRNA from 1 species
UACGUAGGGUGCAAGCGUUGUCCGGAAUUAUUGGGCGUAAAGAGCUCGUAGGCGGUCUGUCACGUCUGCUGUGAAAACUCGGGGCUUAACCCCGGGCCUGCAGUGGGUACGGGCAGACUAGAGUGCGGUAGGGGAGACUGGAAUUCCUGGUGUAGCGGUGAAAUGCGCAGAUAUCAGGAGGAACACCGGUGGCGAAGGCGGGUCUCUGGGCCGUAACGACGCUGAGGAGCGAAAGCGUGGGGAGCGAACAGG